UUACUAGUUACCAUUGUCUGCCUGAAAACAAAAAUUGUCACCCUAGAAUUUCUAUAACAUUUAGCUAGACAUCUUGCCUAAAGGACUUCCGAUUAACAUUACUUAACAUAAAACUUGAUAAAGCUUCAGUUCCAUGUCAGAAAAGUAGGAACGGUGGUGGUACAGCGGUGGAAGGUUGUGUGCUGCGGAGAAGCUUUACAUUUGGACAUAGAAGGAGGCUUUGGGGGAUGUUUUCUUCGUCGUUGAGA